rnacentral:rRNA from 1 species
GGACCCGCACAAGCGGUGGAUGAUGUGGAUUAAUUCGAUGCAACGCGAAAAACCUUACCUACCCUUGACAUGUCCGGAACCUCGAUGAGAGUUGGGGGUGCCCGAAAGGGAGCCGGAACACAGGUGCUGCAUGGCUGUCGUCAGCUCGUGUCGUGAGAUGUUGGGUUAAGUCCCGCAACGAGCGCAACCCUUGCCGCUAAUUGCCAUCAUUAAGUUGGGCACUUUAGCGGGACUGCCGGUGACAAACCGGAGGAAGGUGGGGAUGACGUCAAGUCCUCAUGGCCCUUAUGGGUAGGGCUUCACACGUCAUACAAUGGCGCAUACAGAGGGCUGCGAAACCGCGAGGUGGAGCCAAUCCCAGAAAGUGCGUCGUAGUCCGGAUUGCAGUCUGCAACUCGACUGCAUGAAGUCGGAAUCGCUAGUAAUCGCGGAUCAGCAUGUCGCGGUGAAUACGUUCCCGGGUCUU